rnacentral:tRNA from 1 species
GAAACAUUCAAAAAAUAAGCUUCUAACUUAAUUUAAAGCAUUUGUGUUUGUGUUUCU